rnacentral:rRNA from 1 species
AGAGCGAACGCUGGCGGCAGGCCUAACACAUGCAAGUCGAGCGCCCGUAGCAAUACGGGAGCGGCAGACGGGAUAGUAACACGUGGGAACGCGCCCUUCGGUUCGGAAUAACUCAGGGAAACUUGAGCUAAUACCGGAUACGCCCUUACGGGGAAAGAUUUAUUGCCGAAGGAACGGCCCGCGUCCGAUUAGCUAGUUGGUGAGGUAAUGGCUCACCAAGGCGACGAUCGGUAGCUGGUCUGAGAGGAUGACCAGCAUCACUGGGACUGAGACACGGCCCAGACUCCUACGGGAGGCAGCAGUGGGGAAUAUUGGACAAUGGGCGCAAGCCUGAUCCAGCCAUGCCGCGUGGAUGAUGAAGGCCUUAGGGUUGUAAAGUCCGUUUUAACGGGGAAGAUAAUGACGGUACCCGUAGAAUAAGCCCCGGACUAACUUCGUGCCAGCAGCCGC